rnacentral:rRNA from 1 species
AAACCAGGAUUAGAUACCCUAUUAUAUUUAAACAAAUUGGGUAGUAUUAUUAAUAAAAACCUUUAUACUUUGGCGGCAUUUUAUCUUAUUAGAGGAAUAUGUUCAUUAAUCGAAACCACACGAUAGUUUUUACUUACUAUAAAAUUUUAUAUACCCCCGUCUAAAGAAUUUAUUUAAAAUUUUUAUUCCAAAUUAUAUUAAAAAAAGUUAGGUAAAGGU